GACGAACGCUGGCGGCGUGCCUAAUACAUGCAAGUCGAACGCAGUGGGGACGGGUGAGUAACACGUGGGUAACCUCCCAUCAGAGGGGAUAACACUUGGAAACAGGUGCUAAACCGAUACUGAUGGAUGGACCCGCGGGGCAUUCGCUAGUUGGUGAGGUAACGGCUCACCAAGGCCACGAUGCAUAGACGACCUGAGAGGGGGAUCGGCCAUACUGGGACUGAGAACCGGCCCAGUCUUCUACGGGAGGCAGCAGUAGGGAAUCUGCGGCGAUGGACGAAAGUCUGACCGAUCAACGCCGAGUGAGUGAAGAAGGUUUUCGGAUUGUAAAAUUCUGGUGUUAGAGAAGCGGUGUGUAACCAGAAAGCCACGGCUAACUACGUGCCAGCAGCCGCGGUAAUUC
rnacentral:rRNA from 1 species